UACGUAGGGUGCAAGCGUUGUCCGGAAUUAUUGGGCGUAAAGAGCUCGUAGGCGGUCUGUCGCGUCGAAUGUGAAAACCCGGGGCUCAACCCCGGGCCUGCAUUCGAUACGGGCAGACUAGAGUUCGGUAGGGGAGUCUGGAAUUCCUGGUGUAGCGGUGAAAUGCGCAGAUAUCAGGAGGAACACCGAUGGCGAAGGCACUUUACUGGGCUAUUACUAACACUCAGAGACGAAAGCUAGGGUAGCAAAUGGG
rnacentral:rRNA from 1 species